rnacentral:rRNA from 1 species
UUCUAUGGGACGUAGGCCUCCCAAAGGGUAACGGAGGCAUGCAAAGGUUUCAUUGGGUUGGACGGAGAUUGGUCCUCGAGUGUAAAGGCAGAAGGGAGCUUGAUUGCAAGACCCACCCGUCGAGUAGGGACGAAAGUUGGCCUUAGUGAUCUGACGGUACCGAGUGGAAGGGCCAUCA